CCGGCUGAGUCACAGCACUGAGGGAAGGUGUCCCCAGGUAGCACAUGUGAAAAGGAAGAAAAGGCCCGAAACCUGAUUGUAAUCAGCACCACCCAGCAGUAAAGCCUCAGUGUGUGAAACAGGCUGCGGACCACAGCAUGGCGACCUGCCUGGAGUGUUGGAGCAAAGCCUUUUAUCCUUACUCUUCAUUCCACUCCUAGCUUUCGUAUUCCUGCUUGUGUGGAAGGUCCGAUCACGGAAGAACGUGGAGGGUCCUCAACAGAACCCUGGAGAAGUUGGACUCUUCUCAGGAACAGAAGCUACUGCACCUCCACUAGAUGCUGAAAUAUCGGAAAAAAACAUGUUGAACGUCAUUGAAAUAGUGUAACGCUUCUACUCUUGGAUGUUCUCCAGCAUAAUUGGGCUCUAUCAUCUUCUCCUCGUGGUGUCAAAGGUGACGAAAAAAAUACUCAAAGCUGAAUUCCAUAGAUAGUUCUCGAAGGUAAAAGGCUGGAUUUUGACUGCUCUCCAGAUUAUCGCUUGCAGGUACCUGCAAUGAACACGAUGCUUCUGGAUGAACCAUGCCUGCUACCGUGUGGAUAAGCUUGCCUUUCUUGUAAGACUGCAUUUACCCCAUGCUUUUGAAAAAGACAGUGAGAUUUUGGCAGUGAGAAACCCCUGGACCACACCCCUACUGGGUCCACGGGUUCCUGCGAAUCGUCCAUCAGAACCUGCUGCAUCAUGAACUCUUUGGGGGAAAACGUUCCCCCCCGUCAGCAAGUUGCUAAAGACUGCCUGUGUUUUAAAGGCUCACCAGUUCAUCUUCAAACAGCAAAGCAGAGAGAGACGGACACUGGUUAUCUCCUCUAAGCACUGAGGCAUGAGUUACUACCUCCGGUCACACUUAACCACAUCUUCAACAGCUCUACUCAUUCGUCCUAGUCCGGGUUUUCCUAAAGAAUAUAAUGUUAAAGUGUAUUUCCAAGGUGUAGUCACAUUGUCUGGUACCCAUGGGGAUGUAUGAUGUAUUUAUUUAUUGGUGGCAGCACUGAACUGCUGCUGUUGAUACAACUGAACUGUUUCAAGCUAUCAGUUAAGAGCACCUCUACUAUUGGGUCACAUUUAAAGAACAAUCUAUAUACUAACACGUCGUAAACUCAACACAUUCUUCAACAAGUUACAUUUCCUCGUAUGAUGUUGUCGGUAUAUAUGACUUGGGUGAUUAAGCUUGUGUGUGUACAUGGAGAACAAAACACAUAUGUACAAAAUAUGCUGCUUUGACUAACUUACAUUUAGACCAUUGACAUCUGCAAGCUAAUGAGUAUCAGGGAUGACUUCCAGAUUCGUUUUUUUUUAAAAAGGUAAAAUUAGAACGUAGUGAUAGACGCAUGCAAGACAACGAUGGGUCUCGAAUAAUAAAUACUUGCUCUACAAUGCCUUUAAAAUACAAACAAAAUAAUAAGACUGAAUAUAAAACUUUAUAUAAUAUAACAUUGUUAAAUUCUUAACUGUUCACUUAACUCAACCAAAUAUACUCUCAAAUCAAACCCAUUAGCUCAGAAUGUUCUUUCAUAUGGUUUAAUCUGUUCUUACUGACUUUGCCUUUGUCCAGUAUCAGUGUUGUGCUUGCAUAAUCAAACCUAUUAUAGACAAUCUGACAAAGCUAGUUAGUGCAUUUAUCAAGACUCAAAUGCUUAUGAAAUAAUGAAGGACGAUACCACUGUUUAUGAAAUGUACAGACUAGUUAUUUCCACAAUCCACAAAGAUCGGCACAUGGGAAUUUCAUCAAGGCCUAAAAAUCAGUUUUGCCUUAAAGUUCGCUAUAAUACACUGUCAAAGGAAGUGCACUGUCAUCUCCUUCACAUACUGAACGGUCGCACAAUGGUAUUACUUUUCUUUUGUGAGUUUUCGAUUUGUUUCUCCCUGAGCAGAAAACAACUGGUAGUCAAAUCCAAUCAGUUGGCAUGAUGUUGUUAAUUGCUAGCUACUGUAUAGUAAUUGCCUAAGCCCUCAGGUUCAUUCCAAUAUUAAAUCCAUGUGCCCCUCCACGCCUGCUUUCCUUCAGAGGAGUUAAAGGCAACAAGUUUUAAAUCAUCUCAGCAUGGUUUGUCCACGCAGAGCCUCGCUCAUGUAAAGUAGGUCAAUAGAUGGAUUCAAUGAUUAAGAUUGUUAAUGACAAUCAGCAAAGUGGUAGGAGUGUGAACAGGGCACGCUGGCUGUGACCUUCUGCGAAUAACUUACUAUGACAAAGUGGCCGGACACAAACAUCUGUUUCCAUAUCUAGUUUUUCUAUCAUGUUUAUGGUCUUACAUUGUACCAUUGUCCAUUGGUUUUGUGCCUUGUUUGAUUGGUGUGAUUGACCCUGUGUGUAAAUGUCCAAAGCCUGUCUAUGUUUCUGUGUGGUAGCAGAAAGUGGAGAGAUCAUUACAGUGCAGAUUAAAAACCUCUUCCCACAAUAACAGAUAUAAUCACCAAUCUUUCUAUUUUAAAUAAACAGACAGUUUAGUUGGCUUGACCUGUGCCCAGUGGAAAACACUUUUUUUGAAAGAGCAGCAUAAAACUCAGAGUAAACAUCAGUGGUUGUGACAUUUCUCUACCCCGUGUUACAUUUGAGCUAUUGUGACCUUUAGGAGAGUUCAACUGGUACCUCUGCUUGUUGCUGGGACUAUUUGAUGGGAACUUGUCUUAUAGAAUGAGGAGUAUAUUGUGCAAAAUUAAAUCUGUGUUUGAAAAAAAGUAUACCACAUUGGUGUUCAUACAAUUCAGUACCUUCCGUCAUCAAUAGCUGGAUAUCUUUGGUGUGAUAGACUAUUGUUUGUUAUUUUGAACUGCAAGACAUUUGUAUUCAUUCAAAAAUGCAUUUUUGAAAAAAGUGUAUUAGCAUUGUCGUGCCAUAUUCUCUAUGGCAGUUUAGAUCGAACUCUGUGUUAGAAAAAGUACACCACAUUGGUUCUCGUACAAUAACUUUCCAAACAAUACUUUUAGAAAGAAUCACUAAAAUCAGUGGUGCGGUAAAAUACUGUUUAUUUUUUAAUCUCAAAUCCAACUAUUCAAAAGUGCAUUUUUGAUCCAUAGUCAAGCAUUUUAUGUAUGGCAGUCUAGACCUGAGGCUUUUACAACAAUUAUCUUUUAUAUGACAUGCAGUCCCCAGUAUUCUGACAGAGACACAGGUUGGUCUAGCCACAACCAUACUAACAAACAAGGUAUAGUCUGUCAAAAGUUGCUUUUUUUACAUAGUCUAUGAAUAUCAUGAGCUGCAACAGGUCUAAGCUGUGAAAAAAAAAAACAUGGUCUCCCAUUUUCCUGUCUACAAAUAGUCCAUAUGUAUAUUGCAUGGAAGUCAGAAACACAGCAAUGACAUGCAUUAGCUGAGAGAAGGACUGCCCUUAAAUACUGUUCUUGUGUGGGUAGUCGUGUGGUCUGAGAGUGAGCAGAGCUGCAUCCUGAACAGUGCUUUCGGGCUUGAGUGAUCCAAUCCAUCCCACUUCAGUGGGGGAAUCAAAUGGCUUUAGGCAGGAAAUUAGUCUGGGUGCCAAAAAGCAAAAUGUAAUUAUUGCCCGGUUGGUAUUCUGGGUGAAAACUCUUCUGUUUUCUGUAUUUUUGUAUAAAUGUAAAGAAACAUAUAUGAGAUAUGAAUAAAGUACACGUAUCCAACUAUUA